AUGAGUUAAGUAUAAACCCCUUUACAAGUAGCAAUUGGAGGGCAAGUCUGGUGCCAGCAGCCGCGGUAAUUCCAGCUCCAAUAGCGUAUAUUAAAGUUGUUGCAGUUAAAAAGCUCGUAGUUGGAUUUCUGUUAAUACUUAUAUACAAUACCACGGUAUUUAUAUAACAUUAACAUAAUUCACAUUACUUAUUUAAAGUAUGUGAAACUUUACUUUGAGAAAAUUAGAGUGCUUAAAGCAGGCUAUUGCCUUGAAUACUCCAGCAUGGAAUAAUAUUAAAGAUUUUUAUCUUUCUUAUUGGUUCUAGGAUAAAAAUAAUGAUUAAUAGGGACAGUUGGGGGCAUUUGUAUUUAACAGUCAGAGGUGAAAUUCUUAGAUUUGUUAAAGACAAACUACUGCGAAAGCAUUUGCCAAGGAUGUUUUCAUUAAUCAAGAACGAAAGUUAGGGGAUCGAAGACGAUCAGAUACCGUCGUAGU
rnacentral:rRNA from 1 species